ACCUUUAGAUUUAUUGGAUUGCUUGUAAUGUGAUAUCUAUGGUGCCAGGUAUUAUCAUUUAUAAUAAAAUCUCAAGAAUCUGACAUAUGAAAAAUGACAACUCAAAUUACCAUGUAAUAUUUUUCCAGAAAUGAAGGGUCCCUUUCCUGUGUUUCAUUAGGAUGAAGAUAUCUGAAACCACGCCCUUUAUUUGGGGUAUGGGGCAAGGGAGAAUAGCAACUAGAUUAAGAUUCUAGACCACUCUUGUUUAACUUAGGAGAAAAAAGGAGGAAAAAAUUAAAAAUAGUUCACAAUGUGUUCCAAGUAAAAAGAAGAAAGAAGAAAAAAGAGUAAGAAUAAAAAAAGAAGAAAGAGGAGUAAAAAAGUACCAGGUGCAGCUAAUUGGGAAAUGAAUGAGACAAGAUGCUCUCAAAAUCUCAGUCAAGUGGCAGAGACAGACAUUGUGAACACGUGAUCUUGGUUCAACAGCAGCUCUCAAGUCCUGUACAGAAUGGAUUCAUGGUAACAGCGAAGGCAUAGGAGUCCGAGAAGAUCCUUGGAAAUACCUCUCUGAAUAACCUUGUAACCUUCUAACCUUGUGUCAUUUAACUUCUCUGACACAUAGUCGGGUGUGGCUGGAGUGUAGAAUACAUGGGAGAGUAUAAGAAGUUGGAAGAUCAUGUGCCAAGAAAGUUAAAUUAGCCAACUCAUGAGGUUCUCAUCUUCCAGGCUGAGAAACUUGGACAUUAGUCUACCAGGCCUCUUUCAUGUUGAAAAAUAUCCAGGAGGUGUAUAUAUAUAUCACCUCCAUGAUAGCUGGUAAAAAUAUAUAGCCCUAGAGGUUGGGUGAAGUGUAGAUGUUAUAAGGGACAAUGGAAGGCAGGAAUACCAUUUAAGAGGUAAUUGCAAUACUAACAAAAAACAACAAACAUAAAAUAGAACUUUUAUAAGUGCUUUAACCCAUUGACUACACAUACAUAGGUACCUCAUACCUAUACCUAUAAUAAGAAUACCUUAGGAUACAGGUACUUAUGAUACAGGUAUUCUUAUUGUCUUUUGUAGAUCAGAAGUGUGAGGUAAAGGGAAGUUAGGUAACCUGCUCAUGAUCACACAGUUAGAGUGCCUUCAGAAAUCUUACUUUUAACCAUUAUGUUAUACUGCAGUAGUCCAGGUGGGAGAAUAGGAGGGCCUGAACUAAGCUAAAGCAUUAUAAGAACAUGAUUUUUAUGUGAAUGCACAUUUUGGACUUGCUAUCUCUGUGCCUAUGAUAUCGUUUGUACCUCCAGAACAGGCACUCUGAAUUGUAUAAAUUAUUGUUAUCUUUAUAGUGUUUUAAAACAGCCUUCUUUAGUGCUUGGCAAACAGCUCAUGCACAUUUAGCAAGUGCACCAGGGUGAUGGGAGUCAGAGGCAUCAGUAGAUUCUGUCUACAAUUUGAAGUAUACAACUCCACUGCAACAUGAGACUCCAGGUAUUGCCAGGCAGACAUGCAACAGUGCCCACUGCUCUUGCCUUCCUCCAUCAUCGUUGCUCAUUGCUUUAACCUAGAAUUUCUUGUUUACUUUCCCUUGCAGUUUAUGCAUAUGGACAUCUUGCUUGACCUCCAAGAUCCAGUCUGCUGAUGAGGCAACUGCUAUAAGAAUUAUUUGCAAUCUCUGCCCAUCCACAAACUCUCCACCAUGACUACUGCAGUUAGAGCACUCUGCAGUAUUUUCCAGAUGUCUGUUAUCUGUCCUGUCACACCUAGCAAGCGAUCUGGGAAAACAGGGAGCAUCUAUGAUUUUAACUAAGUAUUAACUACACACAAGGCAAUAUGCAAUAAAGAAAAUAAAAUGUCUUGAAGGAUUGUGAA